rnacentral:rRNA from 1 species
GACGAACGCUGGCGGCGUGCCUAACACAUGCAAGUCGAGCGGUAUCCAUCUGGUGGCAACACCGGGGAAGAUCUAGCGGCGAACGGGUGAGUAACACGUGAGAAACCUGCCCCGAACUUCGGGAUAACACGGGGAAACCCGUGCUAAUACCGAAUACCCUCUACCGGUCGCAUGGCCGGAAGCGGAACGAUUCAUCGGUUCGGGAGGGGCUGGCGGCCUAUCAGCUAGUUGGCGGGGUAACGGCGCACCAAGGCAUCGACGGGUAGCUGGGCUGAGAGGACGAUCAGCCACACUGAGCGUGAGACACAGCCCAGACUCCUACGGGAGGCAGCAGAGGGGAAUCUUGCGAAAUGGGCGAAAGCCUGACGGAGCUACGCCGCGUGCGGGAUGAAGGCCUUCGGGUUGUAAACCGGUUUCAGCAGGGAAGAAAAUGACGGUACCUGCAGAAGAAGCCCCGGCCAACUACGUGCCAGCCGCCGCCGUAA